ACCUUUACGAAAGUAGGGGGUGCCUUCGGGAGCUACAAGACAGGUGGUGCAUGGUUGUCGUCAGCUCGUGUCGUGAGAUGUUGGGUUAAGUCCCGCAACGAGCGCAACCCUUGCUAUUAGUUGCUAACAGGUUAAGCUGAGCACUCUAAUGGGACUGCCCGUGACAAGCGGGAGGAAGGUGGGGAUGACGUCAAAUCAUCAUGCCCUUUAUGAUCUGGGCUACACACGUGCUACAAUGGAUGGUACAGAGAGCAGCGAGGCCGCGAGGUGGAGCGAAUCUCAAAAAGCCAUUCUCAGUUCGGAUUGCAGUCUGCAACUCGACUGCAUGAAGUCGGAAUCGCUAGUAAUCGCGGAUCAGCACGUCGCGGUGAAUGCGUUCCCGGGCCUUGUACACACCGCCCGUCACACCACGAAAGUCGGCAACACCCGAAGCCGGUGAGCUAACUAGCAAUAGAGGCAGCCGUCGAAGGUGGGGUUGGUGAUUGGGGUG
rnacentral:rRNA from 1 species